rnacentral:rRNA from 1 species
AAGACCUUGCACUUUUGGAGCGGCCGAUGUCUGAUUAGCUAGUUGGUGGGGUAAUGGCCUACCAAAGCUUCGAUCAGUAGCUGGUCUGAGAGGACGGCCAGCCACACUGGGACUGAGACACGGCCCAGACUCCUACGGGAGGCAGCAGUGGGGAAUUUUGGACAAUGGGCGCAAGCCUGAUCCAGCCAUGCCGCGUGAGUGAAGAAGGCCUUCGGGUUGUAAAGCUCUUUCAGUCGGGAAGAAAAGGUUGCGACUAAUAAUCGCAAUUCAUGACGGUACCGAAAGAAGAAGCACCGGCUAACUACGUGCCAGCAGCCGCGGUAAUACGUAGGGUGCGAGCGUUAAUCGGAAUUACUGGGCGUAAAGCGUGCGCAGGUGGUUUUGUAAGUCAGAUGUGAAAGCCCCGGGCUCAACCUGGGAACU